GACGAACGCUGGCGGCGUGCUUAACACAUGCAAGUCGAACGGAAAGGCCCUGCUUUUGUGGGGUGCUCGAGUGGCGAACGGGUGAGUAACACGUGAGUAACCUGCCCUUGACUUUGGGAUAACUUCAGGAAACUGGGGCUAAUACCGGAUAGGAGCUCCUGCUGCAUGGUGGGGGUUGGAUAGUUUCGGCGGUUGGGGAUGGACUCGCGGCUUAUCAGCUUGUUGGUGGGGUAGUGGCUUACCAAGGCUUUGACGGGUAGCCGGCCUGAGAGGGUGACCGGCGACAUGGGGACUGAGAGACGGCCCAGACUCCUACGGGAGGCAACAGUGGGGAAUAUUGCACAAUGGGCGGAAGCCUGAUGAAGCAACGCCGCGGGCGGGAAGACGGCCUUCGGGUUGUAAACCGCUUUCGCCUGUGACGAAGCGUGAGUGACGGUAAUGGGUAAAGAAGCACCGGCUAACUACGUG
rnacentral:rRNA from 1 species